UGGCCCACCAAUCACAUGCCUACCAUAUAGUAAAACCCAGCCCAUGACCCCUAACGGGGGCCCUCUCAGCCCUCCUGAUAACCUCUGGCUUAGCCAUAUGAUUCCACUUCUAUUCCACAACCCUACUCACACUAGGCCUACUAACCAACGCGCUAACCAUAUACCAAUGGUGACGUGAUGUAAUGCGAGAAAGCACGUACCAAGGCCACCACACACCACCCAUCCAAAAAGGUCUCCGAUAUGGAAUAGUCCAAUUUAUCGCCUCAGAAAUCUUCUUCUUCGCCAGAUUUUUCUGAGCUUUCUACCAUUCCAGCCUAGCCCCUACCCCCCAACUAGGAGGACACUGACCUCCAACAGGCAUCACCCCACUGAACCCCCAGAAGUCCCACUUCUGAACACAUCCGUACUACUCGCAUCAGGAGUCUCAAUCACUUGAGCCCACCACAGCCUAAUAGAAAAUAAUCGAAACCAAAUAAUUCAAGCGUUACUUAUUACAAUUUUACUAGGUGUUUACUUUACCCUCCUACAAGCCUCAGAGUAUUUCGAAACGCCCUUUACCAUCUCUGACGACGGCAUCUAUGGCUCAACAUUUUUUGUAGCCACAGGCUUUCACGGACUCCACGUCAUCAUUGGAUCAACUUUCCUCACUAUUUGCCUCAUCCGCCAACUAACAUUUCACUUUACAUCUAAACAUCACUUCGGCUUUGAAGCCGCCGCCUGGUACUGACACUUCAUAGAUGUAGUCUGACUAUUUCUAUACGUCUCAAUCUACUGAUGAGGAUCC
rnacentral:lncRNA from 1 species